rnacentral:rRNA from 1 species
UACGUAGGGUGCGAGCGUUGUCCGGAAUUACUGGGCGUAAAGAGCUCGUAGGCGGCUUGUCGCGUCGUCCGUGAAAACCCACAGCUCAACUGUGGGCUUGCGGUCGAUACGGGCAGGCUAGAGUUCGGUAGGGGAGACUGGAAUUCCUGGUGUAGCGGUGAAAUGCGCAGAUAUCAGGAGGAACACCGGUGGCGAAGGCGGGUCUCUGGGCCGAUACUGACGCUGAGGAGCGAAAGCGUGGGGAGCGAACAGG